AGAGUUUGAUCAUGGCUCAGAUUGAACGCUGGCGGAAUGCUUACACAUGCAAGUCGAACGGCAGCACGGGGCAACCUGGUGGCGAGUGGCGAACGGGUGAGUAAUACAUCGGAACGUGCCCAAUCGUGGGGGAUAACGUAGCGAAAGUUACGCUAAUACCGCAUACGAUCUACGGAUGAAAGCGGGGGAUCGCAAGACCUCGCGCGAGUGGAGCGGCCGAUGUCAGGUUAGGUAGUUGGUGGGGUAAAGGCUCACCAAGCCAACGAUCUGUAGCUGGUCUGAGAGGACGACCAGCCACACUGGAACUGAGACACGGUCCAGACUCCUACGGGAGGCAGCAGUGGGGAAUUUUGGACAAUGGGCGCAAGCCUGAUCCAGCCAUUCCGCGUGCAGGAUGAAGGCCUUCGGGUUGUAAACUGCUUUUGUACGGAACGAAACGGCGAGCUCUAAUACAGUUUGCUAAUGACGGUACCGUAAGAAUAAGCACCGGCUAACUACGUG
rnacentral:rRNA from 1 species